GUGCUCGCUUUGGCAGCACACAUACUAAAAUUGGAACGAUACAGAGAAGAUUAGCAUGGCCCCUGCACAAGGAUGACACGCAAAUUCAUGAAGCGUUCCAUAUUUUU
rnacentral:snRNA from 1 species